rnacentral:lncRNA from 1 species
CCAUUGUGACAGGUCGAGUCACAAGGGUACGGGCAGUCUAUCUUCUGGAAGGAGCUGCGACCGAAGAACCAGUCGCCAACAGCGUUUGCUAUUGUCUGCACAGGUGAGAAAAACUCCGUUAGAUUGAACAUAAAAUGUCCUCAUGCUUUGAAAGCACGAGCUAAUUCAAUUGUAAAUGUAAGGUUCAGGGUUUUUGGUGCAUUACUGUGUUUCCGAGCUUGGGGGAGUCAGAUGAGAACCAUAGCUCCUGCGACUCAGACUGGCAGUGCACGAAGCAUGAGUUUAUGAACAACCCUCUUGAGUCGGAGUUCGCUUGUUCAGACACUUCCUUCAAAAAAUCACC